GUCUGGGCUCAUGGCUUGAAUGAAGGCUAUGUAGUCACAGGAGCCAUGGGGUAUCCCUGCUUGGCCCUGCAAGCCAGAACAAUGGAAGCCACUCUGGAGAGAGAGAGACAGAGAUGAAAACAGAUGGAAAAGCAGCGAGAAGCCACGGGAGUGAGCUGCCUGCAUUCCCCGCUCUCCAGACCCGGGUUCUGGAUCCAGCCUCACCUCCUGCCAUAGUUUCCGAGAGGAGGGCAACCCCCUUCCCCACCCACCCAGUAAUCCACUCAGAGGGAAGAGAAGGAAGGAUGAAUGGCUUUUCAGAAGAGAAAGCACAGUUCUCAAGUGGAGCCUUGGGUCUCUCUGCAUAGGACUGACUGACGAGCCUAUCUGGAGAGCUCCUACUAAGCCCAGUCUCCUGUCUCCUCCACCACCAAAAGGCAUCCUUUGGUGAUGUCAUUACUGUCAUUCACCGUGAAUAUGGACAAUCAACAGCCAAGGAUCUUUUGUGUAAUUAAAUGUACUAGCUUGACAGCUCCCAAAUGAGGGGGUAAUAGUUACUGGAUGUAAAGUGGCUUUUCUCUAAUCCUGAGUGACGGCAUGCUGUUGCUAGGUGCCUGUUUUUCUGCCUUUCAAAUACAAAGUGACUAAUGGGGUAUAUUUCAUAACACAUCUGCAAGUAUGUAGUUCUUCUUAUACUUCGAUGCCCUUUAAAAUAUUAUUAUCUGCCAACAUUUGGACUAUGUGCUUAUAUGCAAAUUAGACAUAAUAAAGGAAGAAGGGAGAAGUUCUUUGCUCUUGAAAAAUCAUAUUUAUAAGGUUAACGAGAUUUAUAUAUUACAUCAGGGAACUGGGGUUAGAAUGCAAAACUUUAUCAAUGUAACUUGGCAACAAUAAAGAUCCUCUGGUGUUUUCCCCUGUAUGAGAUCAAAACUUUUUAUCUACACUGAGGUUUAAUU
rnacentral:lncRNA from 1 species